GUGUGGAUGAGUGGCGAACGGGUGAGUAAUACGUGAGUAACCUGCCCUUGACUCUGGGAUAAGCCCGGGAAACUGGGUCUAAUACUGGAUGCUACAUGUCACCGCAUGGUGGUGUGUGGAAAGGGUUUACUGGUCUUGGAUGGGCUCACGGCCUAUCAGCUUGUUGGUGAGGUAAUGGCUCACCAAGGCGACGACGGGUAGCCGGCCUGAGAGGGUGACCGGCCACACUGGGACUGAGACACGGCCCAGACUCCUACGGGAGGCAGCAGUGGGGAAUAUUGCACAAUGGGCGAAAGCCUGAUGCAGCGACGCCGCGUGAGGGAUGACGGCCUUCGGGUUGUAAACCUCUUUCAGCAGGGAAGAAGCCACAAGUGACGGUACCUGCAGAAGAAGCGCCGGCUAACUACGUGCCAGCAGCCGCGGUAAUACGUAGGGCGCAAGCGUUGUCCGGAAUUAUUGGGCGUAAAGAGCUCGUAGGCGGUUUGUCGCGUCUGCUGUGAA
rnacentral:rRNA from 1 species